rnacentral:rRNA from 1 species
GGUUAAGCGACUAAGCGUACACGGUGGAUGCCCUGGCAGUCAGAGGCGAUGAAGGACGUGCUAAUCUGCGAUAAGCGUCGGUGAGGUGAUAUGAACCGUUAUAACCGGCGAUUUCCGAAUGGGGAAACCCAGUGUGUUUCGACACACUAUCAUUAACUGAAUCCAUAGGUUAAUGAGGCGAACCGGGGGAACUGAAACAUCUAAGUACCCCGAGGAAAAGAAAUCAACCGAGAUUCCCCCAGUAGCGGCGAGCGAACGGGGAGGAGCCCAGAGCCUGAAUCAGUGUGUGUGUUAGUGGAAGCGUCUGGAAAGGCGUGCGAUACAGGGUGACAGCCCCGUACACAAAAAUGCACAUGCUGUGAGCUCGAUGAGUAGGGCGGGACACGUGGUAUCCUGUCUGAAUAUGGGGGGACCAUCCUCCAAGGCUAAAUACUCCUGACUGACCGAUAGUGAACCAGUACCGUGAGGGAAAGGCGAAAAGAACCCCGGCGAGGGGAGUGAAAAAGAACCUGAAACCGUGUACGUACAAGCAGUGGGAGCCUCUUAAUGGGGUGACUGCGUACCUUUUGUAUAAUGGGUCAGCGACUUAUAUUCUGUAGCAAGGUUAACCGAAUAGGGGAGCCGAAGGGAAACCGAGUCUUAACUGGGCGUUAAGUUGCAGGGUAUAGACCCGAAACCCGGUGAUCUAGCCAUGGGCAGGUUGAAGGUUGGGUAACACUAACUGGAGGACCGAACCGACUAAUGUUGAAAAAUUAGCGGAUGACUUGUGGCUGGGGGUGAAAGGCCAAUCAAACCGGGAGAUAGCUGGUUCUCCCCGAAAGCUAUUUAGGUAGCGCCUCGUGAAUUCAUCUCCGGGGGUAGAGCACUGUUUCGGCAAGGGGGUCAUCCCGACUUACCAACCCGAUGCAAACUGCGAAUACCGGAGAAUGUUAUCACGGGAGACACACGGCGGGUGCUAACGUCCGUCGUGAAGAGGGAAACAACCCAGACCGCCAGCUAAGGUCCCAAAGUCAUGGUUAAGUGGGAAACGAUGUGGGAAGGCCCAGACAGCCAGGAUGUUGGCUUAGAAGCAGCCAUCAUUUAAAGAAAGCGUAAUAGCUCACUGGUCGAGUCGGCCUGCGCGGAAGAUGUAACGGGGCUAAACCAUGCACCGAAGCUGCGGCAGCGACGCUUAUGCGUUGUUGGGUAGGGGAGCGUUCUGUAAGCCUGUGAAGGUGGCCUGUGAGGGUUGCUGGAGGUAUCAGAAGUGCGAAUGCUGACAUAAGUAACGAUAAAGCGGGUGAAAAGCCCGCUCGCCGGAAGACCAAGGGUUCCUGUCCAACGUUAAUCGGGGCAGGGUGAGUCGACCCCUAAGGCGAGGCCGAAAGGCGUAGUCGAUGGGAAACAGGUUAAUAUUCCUGUACUUGGUGUUACUGCGAAGGGGGGACGGAGAAGGCUAUGUUGGCCGGGCGACGGUUGUCCCGGUUUAAGCGUGUAGGCUGGUUUUCCAGGCAAAUCCGGAAAAUCAAGGCUGAGGCGUGAUGACGAGGCACUACGGUGCUGAAGCGACAAAUGCCCUGCUUCCAGGAAAAGCCUCUAAGCAUCAGGUAACAUCAAAUCGUACCCCAAACCGACACAGGUGGUCAGGUAGAGAAUACCAAGGCGCUUGAGAGAACUCGGGUGAAGGAACUAGGCAAAAUGGUGCCGUAACUUCGGGAGAAGGCACGCUGAUAUGUAGGUGAAGCGACUUGCUCGUGGAGCUGAAAUCAGUCGAAGAUACCAGCUGGCUGCAACUGUUUAUUAAAAACACAGCACUGUGCAAACACGAAAGUGGACGUAUACGGUGUGACGCCUGCCCGGUGCCGGAAGGUUAAUUGAUGGGGUUAGCGGCAACGCGAAGCUCUUGAUCGAAGCCCCGGUAAACGGCGGCCGUAACUAUAACGGUCCUAAGGUAGCGAAAUUCCUUGUCGGGUAAGUUCCGACCUGCACGAAUGGCGUAAUGAUGGCCAGGCUGUCUCCACCCGAGACUCAGUGAAAUUGAACUCGCUGUGAAGAUGCAGUGUACCCGCGGCAAGACGGAAAGACCCCGUGAACCUUUACUAUAGCUUGACACUGAACAUUGAGCCUUGAUGUGUAGGAUAGGUGGGAGGCUUUGAAGUGUGGACGCCAGUCUGCAUGGAGCCGACCUUGAAAUACCACCCUUUAAUGUUUGAUGUUCUAACGUUGGCCCGUAAUCCGGGUUGCGGACAGUGUCUGGUGGGUAGUUUGACUGGGGCGGUCUCCUCCUAAAGAGUAACGGAGGAGCACGAAGGUUGGCUAAUCCUGGUCGGACAUCAGGAGGUUAGUGCAAUGGCAUAAGCCAGCUUGACUGCGAGCGUGACGGCGCGAGCAGGUGCGAAAGCAGGUCAUAGUGAUCCGGUGGUUCUGAAUGGAAGGGCCAUCGCUCAACGGAUAAAAGGUACUCCGGGGAUAACAGGCUGAUACCGCCCAAGAGUUCAUAUCGACGGCGGUGUUUGGCACCUCGAUGUCGGCUCAUCACAUCCUGGGGCUGAAGUAGGUCCCAAGGGUAUGGCUGUUCGCCAUUUAAAGUGGUACGCGAGCUGGGUUUAGAACGUCGUGAGACAGUUCGGUCCCUAUCUGCCGUGGGCGCUGGAGAACUGAGGGGGGCUGCUCCUAGUACGAGAGGACCGGAGUGGACGCAUCACUGGUGUUCGGGUUGUCAUGCCAAUGGCACUGCCCGGUAGCUAAAUGCGGAAGAGAUAAGUGCUGAAAGCAUCUAAGCACGAAACUUGC